rnacentral:misc_RNA from 1 species
GGAGACGAAAUUGUGUUUCCUGUCUACGAGAUCGUUCGCUGUUCAAGAUAACUAAAGCAGUUCAUUUUAUUUGAAAGCAAAGGACAAGUGAAAAAAUUUUGUAGAAAUAGAAGUUGUGAAGUGUCCAAUACACGUAUUCAGGGCCACGUGAGAGACAAGGCUUCCAGCAAAGUUUGUCCUCUUCAUGGACGACUACUGAUAGCAAGGUCUGAACAUUGACUUCUUGAAAAACAAAGAGAGACCAUUGACACUCACUGAGGGAAAGUUGCUGGACCUGCUAAUAUGGCCAAGCGGAAGAAGGGGGCGGGAGGUGGUGGAGCAGAUUCUGGCGGUGGUGGCCGGGUCAAAGUUUAUCUCCAUGCCGUGACCAAUGAUGAGGCUGCUCUUCUAACAGACAAUGGAAAGACAAGCCCCCUUCAAGAAGUCAAAAAGCAGUCACGUGCUUCUGAAGUACAGUUCCAUCAGAAUCAGCCUGUAACGGACAUGAAGAUUAUCAUCAUCUGUGGCAAUCCAAAACAAAUCGAGAAGGCUGUCAGCCUCAUCAAUCAGAAAACUGGUUCUAAGGAAACCAUUUCAGAUCAAGCCCAGAAAUUCUGGCUCCAGUGGGUUCAGGAAGCGUUCCCUGAUCUCGACUCUCGCGCCUACUUCCUGCCUCCUGUCUACGUCAACCGCGUGCCGAUGACCCCAGGGUCAGUUGGUGGUCAGGAUGUUCUGAUCCUUAACACAGAACACGGACAGUCUAGUAAGUCAAACCAGCCAACACCACAUGAAGGAGUCGGAGGGUCCAGCGAGCAGGAACUGCCUAGACAUGCAUGUGUGAGCAUUCAUCCAAGUCUUCCUGAUGACGAAUAUCAGGACACCCAACCUACUUUACCUGGACAAACCAGUCAAUGUAUCCAACCAACAUCAGAUGAAGAGUCUUGCAUUUGCAACCACAGAUUACCAUCUGGACACUUCAGCCAGGUAAGCCAGCUGGCACCAGAUCACAAGGCCAGGGGUUCAAACCAUAUGGCACCACAAGAACAGGCCGGUAACUACAUCCAAGCGGCAUCACCAAGACAGGCAGAUGAGUGCAUUCAACUGACACUACCUGGAGAAGUCAGCCACUACAAUGAGACAUCACACAAACAUAACGGUCAGUUCAUUCAGACUACUCCUGGACAGGCUGAUCAAUACAUUCACACUUCACAACCUACACAGACAGGUCAGUACAAUCAACUGACCCAAACUGGAAAUACAGAUCAGCACAUUCAAUCGGGCCCACCUGUACAUACCGGUCAGUACAAGCAGACAACACCAAACGUACAAGGCGGUCAGCAUCUCCAGACGACAACAACAGGACACACCUGUCAGUACAUCCAUUCACCUCCAAGACAAGAUAGUCAAGGCAACCAGAGUUAUCCAUCUGGACAGACUGGUCAGUUUAGCCAGACAACAUCAGGACGAUAUAUUCAUGACACACAGGAGACAGGAUUUGGACUAGCAAGUCAAUAUAAGCCGACAUUACCUGGACAAGGUGAGUACAACAAUGUACCAGCUGCGCAGGCCUAUCAGUAUAGCCAGACAAUACCACUUGGACAAGCAGGUCUGUACAUGCAUCCGACUGCACGUGGGGAGGCAUAUCAGUAUAGUAAGAUGAUACAAUGUGGACUGACAUCUCAGUCUAUGCUGACGAUACCACCUAGACAGGCAGACCAGGAUAUUCUGUCGCCAUCUGGACGGACCGGUGACUACAUCCAGACACCACCUGAACCAACAGGUCACUAUAUCCAGACAAAAGCACAUGGACAAGCAGGUGCAUGCAUCCUUCCGACUCCACAUCAGCAGACAUCUCAGCGCAUUGAGCUUGAAGCUUCUUCUUCCGAUGUCGUUCAGCCUUCAGUCCAUCGGCCUGCUAACGUUCUAGACAGUGACGUCAGAGAUGACGCUGCCAAGCAACGAGUUCUGGUCUGCCUGCAGGAAUUUUAUGAACAAAAUAAAGAAGUUUUGGUUGGGAUGAGUCAACUUUUGUUUGGACAGUACCUUAGUGAACCUUGUUACGCUGCUGCAGCUGCCCAGCUCCCCACAGCCGCCAACCUUCCUCCUGCUCUCCCUCGGAACUGCAAACAGGGAGACUUUGAUCUGCUGCUGAUUCACCGACAUCACGGUUUUGUCGUCUGUGAAUUGAAGGCGUUUGGUGACAACACACAGACACUGAACUUGUCACAGCAGGAUAUAGACAAGAAAAUUAGACAGAAACAGAGACGCCGUGUCACAGCUGGACAAGGCGGAGGCCAUGUUGUCUCACCUGGUGUCCGACAUCACUCCCGGUCUGCGCAUCACUAAGACCAUCGCUUUCCCCAACCUCACGGCUGAUCAGGUGCAACAGGCCAUCUCUGAAGACAUUCCUCUGACUGAGAACCUGUGUCGGUGUCUGGGAACAUCAGACCCCGCUGCCAUCCCAGGUCUGUGUCUGUGC